rnacentral:rRNA from 1 species
GACGUAGGGCGCGAGCGUUGUCCGGAUUUAUUGGGCGUAAAGAGCUCGUAGGCGGUUUGUCGCGUCGUCCGUGAAAACUCACAGCUUAACUGUGAGCUUGCGGUCGAUACGGGCAGGCUAGAGUUCGGUAGGGGAGACUGGAAUUCCUGGUGUAGCGGUGAAAUGCGCAGAUAUCAGGAGGAACACCGGUGGCGAAGGCGGGUCUCUGGGCCGAUACUGACGCUGAGGAGCGAAAGCGUGGGGAGCGAACAGG